rnacentral:rRNA from 1 species
AAGAUUAAGCCAUGCAUGUCUAAGUACAAACUAUAUUAAAGUGAAACCGCGAAAGGCUCAUUAAAUCAGUUAUGGUUCCUUAGAUCGUACCACAAUUACUUGGAUAACUGUGGUAAUUCUAGAGCUAAUACAUGCAAACAGAGCUCUGACCGGAGACGGAAGGAGUGCUUUUAUUAGAUCAAAACCAAUCGGCGGCGAUAGCAUUUCGGUGUUAUCGUUCGUCGCUCAAUAAAUGGUGAAUCUGAAUAACUUUAUGCUGAUCGCAUGGUCUUGCACCGGCGACGCAUCUUUCAAAUGUCUGCCUUAUCAACUGUCGAUGGUAGGAUCUGCGCCUACCAUGGUUGUAACGGGUAACGGGG